rnacentral:rRNA from 1 species
UACAGAGGGUGCAAGCGUUAAUCGGAAUUACUGGGCGUAAAGCGUGCGUAGACGGUUAUGUAAGUCAGGUGUGAAAGCCCCGGGCUCAACCUGGGAAUGGCAUUUGAGACUGCAUAGCUAGGGUGCGGAAGAGGGAAGCGGAAUUUCCGGUGUAGCGGUGAAAUGCGUAGAUAUCGGGAGGAACACCUGUGGCGAAGGCGGCCCCCUGGUUGGAUACUGACGCUGAUACGCGAAAGCGUGGGGAGCAAACAGG